rnacentral:rRNA from 1 species
UGAGGAAUAUUGCACAAUGGGCGAAAGCCUGAUGCAGCAACGCCGCGUAGGGGAUGAAGGUCUUCGGAUCGUAAACCCUUUUUCUGGGGGACGAGAAAGGACGGUACCCCAGGAAUAAGUCUCGGCUAACUACGUGCCAGCAGCCGCGGUAAAACGUAGGAGGCAAGCGUUAUCCGGAAUUACUGGGCGUAAAGCGCACGCAGGCGGUUUCGUUAGUCCGACGUGAAAGCUCCUGGCUUAACUGGGAGAGGCCGUUGGAUACUGCGGAACUUGAGGUUGGGAGAGGAAAGUGGAAUUCCCGGUGUAGUGGUGGAAUGCGUAGAUAUCGGGAGGAACUCCAGUGGCGAAAGCGACUUUCUGGCCUACACCUGACGCUGAGGUGCGAAAGCGUGGGGAGCGAACAGG